GCUGACACAUCCCUGCCAAUCUCCGGCAGACCCUCCCUCCCAGACCCUCCUACUUCCUGGACAGCAUCCAUGUUGAAGGCAGCUUCAACAUGGAUGCUGUCCAGGAGGUGGGAGGGUCUGGGAGAGAGGGUCUGCUGGAGAUUGGCAGGGAUGUGUCAG